rnacentral:tRNA from 1 species
CACCCGAUAACUUAAUCAAGUGUAGGUCUUUUAAACCUAAAAUAGUAAUUUCUACUUCUGGUGA